AGUGAACGCUGGCGGCAGGCCUAACACAUGCAAGUCGAACGGCCGCACAGUAAGCGCUCGCCCUUACGGGUGGCGACGGGCGGGUGGGUGACGCAUACAUCGGAAUCCACUUUUUCGUGGGUGAUAACGUAGGGACACUUACGAUAAUACCGCAUAUGAUCUACGGGAGAAAGCAGGAGAUCUUCAGACUUUUCCUGAUUCUAUUAGCUGAUGUCGGAUUAGCUAGUUGGCGGGGUAAAGGCACACCAAGGCGACGCUGCGUAGCUGGUCUGAGAGGAUGAUCAGCCACACUGGAACUGAGACACGGUCCAGACUCCUACGGGAGGCAGCAGUGGGGAAUAUUCGACAAUGGGCGCAAGCCUGAUCCAGCCAUACCGCGUGAGUGAAGAAGGCCUUCGGAUUGUAAAGCCCUGUUGUUAGGAAAGAAAAGCAGCAGGUUAAUACCCCGCUGUUCUGACGGUACCCAAAGAAUAAGCACCGGCUAACUUCGUG
rnacentral:rRNA from 1 species